GGCUCGAUGGUGUAGUGGUAGUAGCACGCGUGCCCGAUAUGGAUAAAACGCGGGUUUGAUUACCGCUUAAGGCCG